CACCUCACCUCUCUUAAAGCAUUGGAUAUCAGAAACUGUCGUAAGCUCAAAUACUUGACAAAAGAGAAGCUUCCAGACUCCCUCUCUUAUCUGAUUGUUAGGGAGUGUCCUUUACUGGAAAAACGGUGUCAAUUUGAGAAAGGGGAAGAAUGGUGUUAUAUAGCACACAUUCCAGAAAUAGUGAUCAACCAUGUGCUAUUUUAAUGGAAGUGGCACUCCACCAAUGUACAGUCAGGUGACUUUUCCAAGGAAGUGGAAUCUGAAGGAAGGAUAGAUUGUUCUGAUUUUGGGAGGGUUUUGCCUGUGGAGGAAGGGAGAGAUUCCUGGGUGCUGAACAGUUGAUGCACAUUGCUCUGUUCAAGAUGAAUGAGAAACUCAGAGUAUCAGUCUCAGCCAUGUCAAAAGCAAAAGGAAAAGUUGAAGCUGAAGAUAUCAUGUAAAAAAACAGAGGAAUUUCCAUUGAAGAAGACAACAUCAGAAAGUACACUACACCUGCAUAUAGAGCUGCUGAGGUUGAAUGGAAAACUAUGCUUUUUGAUAAGCACAGAGAAAAGAUUGAAGCAACAGGCUGGGAACUCCAGUAAAGAAAAUCCAAUUCCUCUGGCCCAGACUCUAAUCCAUGGCAGGCUUUCUCUGAGGUAGGUGCCCAGACAACAAUAGCGAGUCUGUUAGGUUUAGAAAUGGUCAUCACAACAAACCAGCCACAGAAGCAACUUCUGGCCCUGAAACUUGGGAUUUUGGAACAGAGAGUUUUUACAGCCACCCCUGCUGCCAGCUCUAACAUUUCCAGACCCCCCAUUGGAGGCAAUAAUGCCCAGCUGUUUGGUGACAAAGAAGAUUGAGGGCAAGCUGGCUACUCAACCUGCUGGAUGGGCCGGUUUCUAACUUAUUUGAAUAAAAGAAAACUCAACCCUCUUAUCUGUACUCUUCAAAGCUGGACUCUCAAAAUUUUCAUUCGUAAAUGUCCAAAGAGCUAUGAUUUUGAAGUCAUUAAAGUUGCCAAUCCCUGCCAACCUCAAUCGGAGCUUAAGGAGUGUGUUAGACUGUUACCAUUGAUUGCCUAAGUCCAAAGUGAAGGAAUUGGAGGAGGGGGAGAUUCCUGGGUGCUGAACUAUUGAUGUUCAUUGCUCUGUUCAAGAAGAGCAAGAAACUGUGAGUAGAAGGCUAGUCAAAAGCAAAGGAAAAGCUGAAGCUGAAGACAUCAUGCACAAAAACAGGAGAGUUUCCAUUGAAACUAGUCCAAAUUAUGAUUGACCCUGGCGUUGAGCUGAUGCUUCAUAAUGUGUUAUUAUAAGAGAUAUAGGCUGCCCGAGUUUUCUGAAUAUACUCCAUAGUCCCUCUGAUGCCUGCACAAGUCCUCAGGCGCCUCUGAAAAGGAAGCUUGAUAAAGAGCCAUUGUGCAUGAACUCAUACACCAGAAGUCGGUGUUCACCCUCAUGGCAGUAAAACCCAGCAAGCGUCCUGGAUUCUUAUGCAACAGAAUUUCCAGAACCUGAUGGUAAUAUCCCUUUAUAGACAGUGCCAAAGGCUUCUACCACCUCUUGUACUCAGGAUUCUGUGAUAAAGCUGCAGAUUUUUGAGGUUCAAGCAUUAGAAAACUAGAGAAAUUGCAGCGACAGAAACAAAGAAGAACAGAGAGGGGCCUAAGAGGACUGAGAGGAUUAGAAUUGCUUCAUUUUGCUUGCCUCUGCCUGAAGUUAGUUCACUGGACUUCAAUAUCAUGAUUAGAGCACUUCUGGCAACAGUAGUUUUAUCCAACCUCCCAUUUGAAAGAGGUAGUCUUUUCCUCCAACAGCUUCCAGUUCCAUAUGCAAACCUCAGGUCCUCAAAAAUAGCAACUGCACAGUAGGCUGCAACACCCGAUCCCUGGGUUGGCAAUAUGGUAUUAGUUGGGUGCUUGAAGCUCUCCCAUAUA